GACGAACGCUGGCGGCGUGCUUAACACAUGCAAGUCGAACGGAAAGGCCCUGCUUUUGUGGGGUGCUCGAGUGGCGAACGGGUGAGUAACACGUGAGUAACCUGCCCUUGACUUUGGGAUAACUUCAGGAAACUGGGGCUAAUACCGGAUAGGAGCUCCUGCUGCAUGGUGGGGGUUGGAAAGUUUCGGCGGUUGGGGAUGGACUCGCGGCUUAUCAGCUUGUUGGUGGGGUAGUGGCUUACCAAGGCUUUGACGGGUAGCCGGCCUGAGAGGGUGCCCGGCCACAUUGGGACUGAGAUCCGGCCCAGACUCCUACGGGAGGCAGCAGUGGGGAAUAUUGCAGAAUGGGCGGAAGCCUGAUGCAGCAACGCCGCGUGCGGGAUGACGGCCUUCGGGUUGUAAGCCUCUUUCGCCUGUGACGAAGCGUGAGUGACGGUAAUGGGUAAAGAAGCACCGGCUAACUACGUG
rnacentral:rRNA from 1 species